UACGGAGGGUGCGAGCGUUAAUCGGAAUUACUGGGCGUAAAGGGUGCGUAGGUGGUUUGAUAAGUUAUCUGUGAAAUCCCUGGGCUUAACCUGGGCAGGUCAGAUAAGACUGUUGGACUGGAGUAUGGGAGAGGGUAGUGGAAUUUCCGGUGUAGCAGUGAAAUGCGUAGAGAUCGGAAGGAACACCAGUGGCGAAGGCGGCUACCUGGCCUAAUACUGACACUGAGGCACGAAAGCGUGGGGAGCAAACAGG
rnacentral:rRNA from 1 species